CUUAGAAGCAGCCAUCAUUUAAAGAAAGCGUAAUAGCUCACUGGUCGAGUCGGCCUGCGCGGAAGAUGUAACGGGGCUAAACCAUGCACCGAAGCUGCGGCAGCGACACCGUGUGUUGUUGGGUAGGGGAGCGUUCUGUAAGCCUGUGAAGGUGUGCUGUGAGGCAUGCUGGAGGUAUCAGAAGUGCGAAUGCUGACAUAAGUAACGAUAAAGCGGGUGAAAAGCCCGCUCGCCGGAAGACCAAGGGUUCCUGUCCAACGUUAAUCGGGGCAGGGUGAGUCGACCCCUAAGGCGAGGCCGAAAGGCGUAGUCGAUGGGAAACGGGUUAAUAUUCCCGUACUUGGUGUUACUGCGAAGGGGGGACGGAGAAGGCUAUGUUGGCCGGGCGACGGUUGUCCCGGUUUAAGCGUGUAGGUAUGUGUUCCAGGUAAAUCCGGUUCACUUUAACACUGAGGCGUGACGACGAGGCACUACGGUGCUGAAGCAACAAAUGCCCUGCUUCCAGGAAAAGCCUCUAAGCAUCAGGUAACAUCAAAUCGUACCCCAAACCGACACAGGUGGUCAGGUAGAGAAUACCAAGGCGCUUGAGAGAACUCGGGUGAAGGAACUAGGCAAAAUGGUGCCGUAACUUCGGGAGAAGGCACGCUGACACGUAGGUGAAGUGAUUUACUCACGGAGCUGAAGUCAGCCGAAGAUACCAGCUGGCUGCAACUGUUUAUUAAAAACACAGCACUGUGCAAACACGAAAGUGGACGUAUACGGUGUGACGCCUGCCCGGUGCCGGAAGGUUAAUUGAUGGGGUCAGCGCAAGCGAAGCUCCUGAUCGAAGCCCCGGUAAACGGCGGCCGUAACUAUAACGGUCCUAAGGUAGCGAAAUUCCUUGUCGGGUAAGUUCCGACCUGCACGAAUGGCGUAAUGAUGGCCAGGCUGUCUCCACCCGAGACUCAGUGAAAUUGAACUCGCUGUGAAGAUGCAGUGUACCCGCGGCAAGACGGAAAGACCCCGUGAACCUUUACUAUAGCUUGACACUGAACAUUGAGCCUUGAUGUGUAGGAUAGGUGGGAGGCUUUGAAGUGUGGACGCCAGUCUGCAUGGAGCCGACCUUGAAAUACCACCCUUUAAUGUUUGAUGUUCUAACGUGGACCCGUGAUCCGGGUUGCGGACAGUGUCUGGUGGGUAGUUUGACUGGGGCGGUCUCCUCCUAAAGAGUAACGGAGGAGCACGAAGGUUGGCUAAUCCUGGUCGGACAUCAGGAGGUUAGUGCAAUGGCAUAAGCCAGCUUGACUGCGAGCGUGACGGCGCGAGCAGGUGCGAAAGCAGGUCAUAGUGAUCCGGUGGUUCUGAAUGGAAGGGCCAUCGCUCAACGGAUAAAAGGUACUCCGGGGAUAACAGGCUGAUACCGCCCAAGAGUUCAUAUCGACGGCGGUGUUUGGCACCUCGAUGUCGGCUCAUCACAUCCUGGGGCUGAAGUAGGUCCCAAGGGUAUGGCUGUUCGCCAUUUAAAGUGGUACGCGAGCUGGGUUUAGAACGUCGUGAGACAGUUCGGUCCCUAUCUGCCGUGGGCGCUGGAGAACUGAGGGGGGCUGCUCCUAGUACGAGAGGACCGGAGUGGACGCAUCACUGGUGUUCGGGUUGUCAUGCCAAUGGCACUGCCCGGUAGCUAAAUGCGGAAGAGAUAAGUGCUGAAAGCAUCUAAGCACGAAACUUGCCCCGAGAUGAGUUCUCCCUGAGACUUUAGGUCUCCUGAAGGAACGUUGAAGACGACGACGUUGAUAGGCCGGGUGUGUAAGCGCAGCGAUGCGUUGAGCUAACCGGUACUAAUGAACCGUGAGGCUUAACCUUACAACGCCGAAG
rnacentral:rRNA from 1 species